AAUUACUAAAACCAGUAGUUCGAAAGAUAUAUUUAAAAAUAAAAGAUAAAAAUCCAAAAAUUAAUUAUCUAUUAACGUGGAUUUGGACGACAAUAGGUUUUUAGUUUGUGAUGUUUCAUGUGAUGAUCAUUUUCAUGUUCAUCGUCUUUGAAUUGACAUGAGGAUAUCUAUGGAAAAGUAACUAAUCUGAAAGUAAGCCAACAUAUCGUUUGUCCUUUGUGUGCUAAAGAAAAGAUUUUCUUUUCGCAUCGUGAGGAAGUAUUACAUCAAUUAAAAAAUGUUAGGAAGUUGAUUACUUGUCAUGGAAAAGUAUACCAAUGGAAAUUAUUUGUUAAAGAAGUAUAAUUCUAAGGGUUUUAAGAAUAAAUUGGUUGAACCCAAAAUCUGGAGGAAGUACCUAUAUCCAUACACAGAAUAUGCCCAUUAAGAAUACUAGUCCAAAUUUGCUUUAAUGGAACGAUUAGGGCCCGAUAUAUUUGAAACUCAUGUUGGACAUAGUAUUGAGUUGGGUAGAAUAUUAUUCUACGUUAAGUGAGGAUAUCAGAUACCUAUUAUUGUACUGUAUUUUAAUAUAUACAUUAGAAUUG